AUACAAUGGAGAGUUUGAUCCUGGCUCAGGAUGAACGCUAGCGGGAGGCCUAACACAUGCAAGCCGAGCGGUAGAGAUUCUUCGGAAUCUUGAGAGCGGCGUACGGGUGCGGAACACGUUUGCAACCUGCCUUUAUCAAGGGGAUAGCCUUUCGAAAGGAAGAUUAAUACCCUAUAAUAUAUUGACUGGCAUCAGUUAAUAUUGAAAACUACGGUGGAUAAAGAUGGGCACGCGCAAGAUUAGCUAGUUGGUGAGGUAAGGGCUCACCAAGGCG
rnacentral:rRNA from 1 species